CCUACGGGCGGCAGCAGUGGGGAAUCUUGCACAAUGGGCGAAAGCCUGAUGCAGCGACGCCGCGUGAGGGAUGAAGUAUUUCGGUAUGUAAAGCUCUUUUUGCAGGGAAGAAAAUGACGGUACCUGACGAAGAAGCUCCGGCUCAAUACGUGCCAGCAGCCGCGGUAAUACGUAUGAAGCAAGCGUUAUCCGGAUGUACUGGGUGUAAAGGGAGCGCAUGUGGGAGGGUAAGUCUGCUGUGAAAGUCCGGGGCCUAAAACAUAUACUGCAUUGGAAAAUGUCAAGCUAGAGUGCAGGAGGGGUAAGUGGAAUUCCUAGUGUAGCGGUGAAAUGCGUAGAUAUUAGGAGGAACACCAGUGGCGAAGGCAGCUUACUGGACUGUAACUGACGUUGAGGCUCGAAAGCGUGGGGAGCAAACAGGAUUAGAUACCCGUGUAGUC
rnacentral:rRNA from 1 species